UACGAAGGGGGCGAGCGUUGUUCGGAUUUACUGGGCGUAAAGGGCGCGUAGGCGGCCUUCCAAGUCGAGUGUGAAAGCCCCGGGCUCAACCUGGGAGGUGCGCUCGAGACUGGCGGGCUGGAGUUCGGGAGAGGAGCGUGGAAUUCCCAGUGUAGAGGUGAAAUUCGUAGAUAUUGGGAAGAACACCGGUGGCGAAGGCGGCGCUCUGGACCGAGACUGACGCUGAGGCGCGAAGGCGUGGGGAGCAAACAGG
rnacentral:rRNA from 1 species